CCAGACUCCUACGGGAGGCAGCAGUGGGGGAUAUUGCACAAUGGGGGAAACCCUGAUGCAGCGACGCCGCGUGGGCGAAGAAGUAUUUCGGUAUGUAAAGCCCUAUCAGCAGGGAAGAAGAAAUGACGGUACCUGAGUAAGAAGCACCGGCUAAAUACGUGCCAGCAGCCGCGGUAAUACGUAUGGUGCAAGCGUUAUCCGGAUUUACUGGGUGUAAAGGGAGCGCAGGCGGCACGGCAAGCCUGAUGUGAAAGCCCGCGGCCCAACCGCGGGACUGCAUUGGGAACUACCGGGCUGGAGUGCCGGAGAGGUAGGCGGAAUUCCUGGUGUAGCGGUGAAAUGCGUAGAUAUCAGGAGGAACACCGGCGGCGAAGGCGGCCUGCUGGACCGUGACUGACGUUGAGGCUCGAGAGCGUGGGGAGCAAACAGGAUUAGAUACCCGAGUAACU
rnacentral:rRNA from 1 species